GAGGAGACCGCGGGCGCUGUGGGGCGAGAUGGAGGAGGAGUGCCUCGCCACGGCAAGCGCCGCCAGCAAUGCCAUGGCCAUGAUGCAGCGCCUGCAGAAGGAGAAGGCCGAGGUCUAGAUGGAGCUUGACGCCGAGAUCGACCACCGGGACUCGCCGCUAUCGGUCACCAGCGAUGACCUUAGGCCCUUACCAUGGCUAGGGUUUCGGGCGCGUCCACACUGGCGUGGCUCCCGCGCCUCCAGCGGCUCUUCUCCGACGCCCACCGUGCCCUCACACGCAGCUCCCAUCUCUAGGAAGCUGCUCCUUCGCCUGGUGCCCAUGUGCGGCUCCUCUCUGACGCCCACCGCGCCCUCACACGCAGCUCCCAUCUCUAGGAAGCUGCUCCUUCGCCUGGUGCCCAUGUGAUGUGCAGGGCAAGGAUUGGAUGCUUGAGGAAGGAGGGGUCGCCCUUGCCUUGCUGCAGCUCGGGGUGCACCACCCAUGGCGC